rnacentral:rRNA from 1 species
AGAGUUUGAUCAUGGCUCAGAUUGAACGCUGGCGGCAGGCCUAACACAUGCAAGUCGAACGGUAACAGGAAACAGCUUGCUGUUUCGCUGACGAGUGGCGGACGGGUGAGUAAUGUCUGGGAAACUGCCUGAUGGAGGGGGAUAACUACUGGAAACGGUAGCUAAUACCGCAUAAUGUCGCAAGACCAAAGAGGGGGACCUUAGGGCCUCUUGCCAUCGGAUGUGCCCAGAUGGGAUUAGCUAGUAGGUGGGGUAACGGCUCACCUAGGCGACGAUCCCUAGCUGGUCUGAGAGGAUGACCAGCCACACUGGAACUGAGACACGGUCCAGACUCCUACGGGAGGCAGCAGUGGGGAAUAUUGCACAAUGGGCGCAAGCCUGAUGCAGCCAUGCCGCGUGUAUGAAGAAGGCCUUCGGGUUGUAAAGUACUUUCAGCGGGGAGGAAGGGAGUAAAGUUAAUACCUUUGCUCAUUGACGUUACCCGCAGAAGAAGCACCGGCUAACUCCGUGCCAGCAGCCGCGGUAAUACGGAGGGUGCAAGCGUUAAUCGGAAUUACUGGGCGUAAAGCGCACGCAGGCGGUUUGUUAAGUCAGAUGUGAAAUCCCCGGGCUCAACCUGGGAACUGCAUCUGAUACUGGCAAGCUUGAGUCUCGUAGAGGGGGGUAGAAUUCCAGGUGUAGCGGUGAAAUGCGUAGAGAUCUGGAGGAAUACCGGUGGCGAAGGCGGCCCCCUGGACGAAGACUGACGCUCAGGUGCGAAAGCGUGGGGAGCAAACAGGAUUAGAUACCCUGGUAGUCCACGCCGUAAACGAUGUCGACUUGGAGGUUGUGCCCUUGAGGCGUGGCUUCCGGAGCUAACGCGUUAAGUCGACCGCCUGGGGAGUACGGCCGCAAGGUUAAAACUCAAAUGAAUUGACGGGGGCCCGCACAAGCGGUGGAGCAUGUGGUUUAAUUCGAUGCAACGCGAAGAACCUUACCUGGUCUUGACAUCCACGGAAGUUUUCAGAGAUGAGAAUGUGCCUUCGGGAACCGUGAGACAGGUGCUGCAUGGCUGUCGUCAGCUCGUGUUGUGAAAUGUUGGGUUAAGUCCCGCAACGAGCGCAACCCUUAUCCUUUGUUGCCAGCGGUCCGGCCGGGAACUCAAAGGAGACUGCCAGUGAUAAACUGGAGGAAGGUGGGGAUGACGUCAAGUCAUCAUGGCCCUUACGACCAGGGCUACACACGUGCUACAAUGGCGCAUACAAAGAGAAGCGACCUCGCGAGAGCAAGCGGACCUCAUAAAGUGCGUCGUAGUCCGGAUUGGAGUCUGCAACUCGACUCCAUGAAGUCGGAAUCGCUAGUAAUCGUGGAUCAGAAUGCCACGGUGAAUACGUUCCCGGGCCUUGUACACACCGCCCGUCACACCAUGGGAGUGGGUUGCAAAAGAAGUAGGUAGCUUAACCUUCGGGAGGGCGCUUACCACUUUGUGAUUCAUGACUGGGGUGAAGUCGUAACAAGGUAACCGUAGGGGAACCUGCGGUUG